rnacentral:rRNA from 1 species
CCUACGGGGGGCAGCAGUGGGGAAUAUUGGACAAUGGGGGGAACCCUGAUCCAGCCAUGCCGCGUGUGUGAAGAAGGCCCUCGGGUUGCAAAGCACUUUCAGUGAGGAAGAACGCCUGGUGGUUAAUACCCAUCAGGAAAGACAUCACUCACAGAAGAAGCACCGGCUAACUCCGUGCCAGCAGCCGCGGUAAUACGGAGGGUGCGAGCGUUAAUCGGAAUUACUGGGCGUAAAGCGCGCGUAGGUGGCUUGAUAAGCCGGUUGUGAAAGCCCCGGGCUCAACCUGGGAACGGCAUCCGGAACUGUCAAGCUAGAGUGCAGGAGAGGAAGGUAGAAUUCCCGGUGUAGCGGUGAAAUGCGUAGAGAUCGGGAGGAAUACCAGUGGCGAAGGCGGCCUUCUGGACUGACACUGACACUGAGGUGCGAAAGCGUGGGUAGCAAACAGGAUUAGAUACCCUGGUAGUC